GACUUUGCGCAGUAGUGGUACCGUAGCCAAUGAGGUUUAUCUGAGGCUCAGUUAUCGCUAGUUGGAAACUACUCUAAAUACCCAGCACCGAUGGCGUGAAACAUCGUUGUUGGAUGCAAUACAUGUCGUCACGGGUGA
rnacentral:snRNA from 1 species